UAUGCGAUACUUGGUGUGAAUUGCAGAAUUCAGUGAAUCAUCGAAUCUUUGAACGCACAUUGCGCCCCUUGGUAUUCCGAGGGGCAUGCCUGUUCGAGCGUCAUUACAACCCUCAAGCUCUGCUUGGUAUUGGGCUCCGUCCUCACUGCGGACGCGCCUCGAAGACCUCGGCGGUGGCUGUUCGGCCCUCAAGCGUAGUAGAAUACACCUCGCUUUNGAUCGGUCGGCGUCGCCCGCCGGACGAACCUUCUGAAACUUCUCUCAAGGUUGACCUCGGAUCAGGUAGGGAUACCCGCUGAACUUAAGCAUAUCAAUAAGCGGAGGA
rnacentral:rRNA from 1 species